AGAGUCGUAGCUCAAUGGGAGAGCGCUUGCUUCACACGCAAGAGGUUGAGGGUUCGAUUCCCUCCGACUCUA
rnacentral:tRNA from 1 species